CGUGUAGGCGGUUGGGAUAGUCAGAUGUGAAAGCCUUCUGCUCAACAGAAGAAGUACGUCUGAAACUGCCCAACUUGAGUACGAGAGAGGAAAGUGGAAUUCCCAAUGUAGAGGUGAAAUUCGUAGAUAUUGGGAGGAACACCUGUGGCGAAGGCGACUUUCUGGAUCGAUACUGACGCUGAGACGCGAAAGCGUGGGGAGCAAACAGGAUUAGAUACCCUGGUAGUCC
rnacentral:rRNA from 1 species